rnacentral:rRNA from 1 species
UGGGGAAUUUUGGACAAUGGGCGCAAGCCUGAUCCAGCCAUGCCGCGUGUCUGAAGAAGGCCUUCGGGUUGUAAAGGACUUUUGUCAGGGAAGAAAAGGACAGGGUUAAUACCCCUGUCUGAUGACGGUACCUGAAGAAUAAGCACCGGCUAACUACGUGCCAGCAGCCGCGGUAAUACGUAGGGUGCGAGCGUUAAUCGGAAUUACUGGGCGUAAAGCGAGCGCAGACGGUUACUUAAGCAGGAUGUGAAAUCCCCGGGCUCAACCUGGGAACUGCGUUCUGAACUGGGUGACUAGAGUGUGUCAGAGGGAGGUAGAAUUCCACGUGUAGCAGUGAAAUGCGUAGAGAUGUGGAGGAAUACCGAUGGCGAAGGCAGCCUCCUGGGAUAACACUGACGUUCAUGCUCGAAAGCGUGGGUAGCAAACA